rnacentral:rRNA from 1 species
AUGAACGCUGGCGGCGUGCCUAAUACAUGCAAGUCGAGCGAACUGACGAGAAUCUUUCUUCUCUGAUUUUUUCGGCGUACGGUUUAUUAACACUUUGAUAACCUACCUAUAAUACUUUGUUAACUUCGGGAAACCGGAUCUAAUACCGGAUGAUAUUUUUAACCCCCUGGUUCAAUAGUGUAAUACGGUCUUUCUUUCACUUAUAUAUUGAUCCGCGCUGCAUUAGCUAGUUGGUAAGGUAACGGCUUACCAAGGCAACGAUGCAUAGCCGACCUGAGAGGGGGAUCGGCGACAAGGGAACGGAGACACGGAAAAGAGGACUACGGGAGGCAGCAGAGGGGAAUGUUCCGCAAUGGGCGAAAGAAUGACGGAGCAACGCCGCGUGAGUGAUGAAGGUAUUAGGAGCGUAAAAAACUGUUAUUAGGGAAGAAAAAAUGUGUAAGAAACAGUGCACAGAAUGACGGUAACUAAUAAGAAAGCAACGGCUAACUACGUG